AUUGCACGCUAGCGGGAUGCCUUACACAUGCAAGUCGAACGAGUGGCGAACGGGUGAGUAAUGUCUGGGAAACUGCCCGAUGGCGGGGGAUAACUACUGGAAACGGUAGCUAAUACCGCAUACCAUCGGAUGUGCCCAGAUGGGAUUAGCUAGUAGGUGGGGUAACGGCUCACCUAGGCGACGAUCCCUAGCUGGUCUGAGAUGAUGACCAGCCCCACUGGAACUGAGACACGUUCCAGACUCCUACUGGUGGCAGCAGUGGGGAAUAUUGCACAAUGGGCGAAAGCCUGAUGCAGCCAUGCCGCGUGUAUGAAGAAGGCCUUCGGGUUGUAAAGUACUUUCAGCGAGGAGGCGUUACUCGCAGAAGAAGCACCGGCUAACUCCGUGCCAGCCGCCGCGGUAAUUC
rnacentral:rRNA from 1 species